UCUGUACUUUCCUAUAUUAACUGGCAUAGUAUAAUUUCCUUUCUUCAUAAGAGACAUGGGUUGUAUCAUUGUUAGCAAAAAGUGUGGUACAUUUCUAAUUCUUGAUUCCACUUUUCUGUCUUUAUCAUUGUCUUUCACCUUCACCACCACACUGCAAUCCUGUCUAAAUAUCCUUCCCUUCCUUUCCUCCCGCCACAUCUCUUCCCUCUUCCCUCAUCACAUUUCAGCUCUCUUGUGCUUUUUCUGGGUCCAUUUGCUAUUUUUCAGACUUUGUGUUUUUUCUGAACGCAAUACUCUGAGACAUAGAGGUUGAUGUUUAAUGUACUUCAUUUAAUGACGUCACGGGGCCUGUCCCUUGUGACAUUCUCAGUGGGCUGUCCUGAAAUUUCCAGGCUUGGGAUGUUCCUAAAUGGACCAAACCUCUGUUAACUGCCAACAAGAGAAGCAGAAAUUUAUUUUCACCUCUCCCCAACCCCAGAUAGUUUAUAUCCUACCAGGACAAAUGGCUGAUUUUGGGUGGGUCUAAAGCUCAUUGGCAACUGGUGCAUAUUACAUGCCAUGAGUCAAUUCCUAAUACCUCUAGUUAAAAACAGGCAGCAGGGAAGACUCAUGGGAAGGCAGCUUCAGCAUCAACCACAGUGGCACCAUUCAAAUCAGAAGUCUAACAUGUGAUAAAAUUAUAUAUAUAUAUUCACCUUCAAGGCAAGAUUCUUUUCCUUUUCUCCUGCAGACCGAAGAAUAAGGGCCAGGCCUUGCGAUCUGGAAAAGCUAAUGUGUGUGAAUAUUAGUUAUAAAUUCUUGAAAAUGAAGGAAAGUCUUUCUAUAUAUUCCGUAGGCAAUAUUUCAGAGGCAGAAACUGGCAAAAGCAUAUUCCUUGCCUAAGAAAAGCUUAUGAAGUGCAUGGGGUCACUAUAAGUCAACUGGCAACUUGAAGGGCUACACACAGUAUAACUGCUCAAAGGCAUUACUUUGAACCCUAGCAAAAAGGAAGUGGUACUCUUGGAUAACAAUCAUAUACAUUUCAAACCCCUAUAGUCUGAUCUCCAGCUGCAAAGUAAGACAUUAAAAAAAUCACCAUGUAUGCAUUCAGGUGACCAUAGGCUCUCAGGUCUGUACAUGAGCAAUGCAGUACUCAUUAAAGCUGCAGAGGCCAGUAUCGAAGAAACAAAUGUAGGAGUAUAUUUUUGCGCACACUGGAACCCAGAGGCAUACAUCCCGAUAUGAGAUUUAUUAGAGGCAGCUGAAGUAAGGAAGAGGCUAGAAGGAUAACUGAGAUGCCGCUUCUCAGUGGUUCGGGUUCCCGGGGUGUCUAGGCUCUGUAGUUUCAAAUCAGACGCAAACAGGAAUGAAGACAAGGCUUUAUUCACUUCAACCAAAAGUGGAUGUUGGAGAGACAACGCUCUCAAAUCAGACAUAAAGCAAUGGAUGCAGCACAGAGACCUUUAUAUAGACUUGACAGCUAUUCAAACAGUGGUCUUUUGCGGUUCUGGUCACUGAUCGGUGCAAAUUACAAACUACUAGCUGAUUGGUAGAGGCACGCCAUCUGCUGCUGCAGCUGAUUGGUAUCCUUGUUUGGUGGAAAUUUUAACAAACUGUCAUUGCUCUGUUUGAAACUUGCGGCUGUUUCUUAAGUCCGCCUUGGGGGAAAGGCGUGUGGAUAGGGUUCGGGAUUGAUGGCUUUAUUUCUGCCAGCUGGAAUUUGACAAUAGAUUCGGGCUGAGGAAACAAUCGAUGCCAAAACACCUUGAUGGGUUCCCAGGGAGAAACAAAAGCAGGGUGUUGGGUGACUCUGUGACCAUUAAUUAUUGUGUUGUCCAAGGCUUUCAUGGUUGGAAUUGCUGUCAGUUUUCUGGGCUAUAUGGCCAUGUUCCGGAAGCUUUCUCUCCUGACGUUUCACCCACAUCUAUGGCAGGCAUUCUCAGAGGUUGUGAGGUAUAUUGGAAACUGGUAUUGGAAACUAGGGUGCCUGCCAUAGAUGUGGGCGAAAUGUCAGGAGAGAAUGCUUCUGGAGCAUGGCCAUACAGCCUGGAAAACUCACAGCAACCAACCUUUUAUUGUUUAUUUAUUUUUCUCCCAUUUUUCUCCCAUAGGUGAGAUUCAAAGCAGGGUACAGGGAUUAAUUCAAUGUUGGGUGGAAAGGUGUAUGGUUGGCUAGGAAGGAUGGCCAUCAGAUGAUUAUGCCAAUUGCCUGGAGGAGUAAUGGGAUUAGUCCUGUGUUCCUCUCAAUGGGUGGUUGUGCAACUAUGUAUCUGGAGGAAAGGUCGCCUUUUGAUGUUAGCCAGACUGUGUUUCUGGCGGAAAGGUCAUGCUUAGAUGUCAUUUGAGGGACCCUUUAUGGCCGUGGGUUUUGGGGUCCUGGGUUUUGAUAACAAUAUGAAUAUAGGAAGCGCUAUAAGGCAGUAAUGGUCCCUGGACUGGUAUUAAUCCUUUGGCUGCCUGAUCCUGGUGAAUUUCCAGGAAAUAAAGAUUGUAAUUGAUGGACACAUAUUACAAAAUAUUAGCAAAUUUUGAGAUAUAUAUUUUUUGCUAAUCCCCAUACGUCAGAUAAGCUGGGAAGCACUGCUAUUACGUAUCUAUUUUAAACAUCUAUUUCCAGUUACAAUGCCAACAGGAAGCUUCCUUCUACUACCUGUUGUUCGUGCUGUAAGCAUGCAUAGACAACGGAGAAGAAAAUAUAUAUACCAUACAUUGGUGAAAAAAUGUGCCCGUUCAAAAACCACCCUUAGUCCUUUUGAACUCUCAGAACUUGAAAGAUGAAUGGCUUCUCCUGGGCCUUUACUCUUUUAUGCUCUGAUUUUAAAUGGGAAGAAAAUCCCAUUUCGACAGAACUCGCUUCCCAGGAAAUGUGCUUUGGAUCUCAGCCUAGCCCUUCUCUGUAAAAAUCAAUGGGAGAUGGGCUGCACUGUGGCAAGUGAUUUAUAAAAGGAAGAAGCGUCAGGUGAAUCAGAUUUUGAAGCUUUGGUUUGGGCUUUUUUUGUGGUGGGCUGGAAGGAUCUAACAACUUAAUGGAGGCUCUUCUGUACCUGGUCUUGGGAGAAUAUUGAUGUAGUGGUGGUUAUGCUGACAGCAAAAUUUAUAGAAUAUUUCUGUUUUGAAUAGAUUAAGAUGAUGCCAAGCCUCUCUGAGAUGCCGAGUCAGGUUGCAGUCUUUUGCAAAUUUAUCUAACAAAUGCACUGAACAGAGUGGGCUUUACUUCUGAGGAAACUGGCAGAGGGUUAUGCUACAUGCAAAGUUCAUGACUUCUGUUUUUUAAUUGGUUGUUUUAUUGUGCCGCUUUUGAUUUUGAGGAGUCCCUUCAGGAAGAUAGGGCAGAAUAUAAAUAAAGUUAUUUAUUUAUUA